rnacentral:rRNA from 1 species
GAUGAACGCUAGCGGCAGGCCUAAUACAUGCAAGUCGAACGGUGUCUUCGGACAUAGUGGCGCACGGGUGCGUAACACGUAUGCAACCUACCUUACAUUGGGGGAUAGCCUUUCGAAAGGGAGAUUAAUACCGCAUAAGACAGUAGCUGGGCAUCCAGCAGCUGUUAAAGAUUUAUCGAUGUAAGCUGGGCAUGCGUCCAAUUAGCUAGUUGGUGAGGUAACGGCUCACCAAGGCAAUGAUUGGUAGAGGAACUGAGAGGUCAAUCCCCCACACUGACACGCAGAGACGGGCCAGACUCCUACGGGAGGCAGCAGUAGGGAAUAUUGGGCAAGGGACGCAAGUCUGACCCAUCCAUGCCGCGUGCAGGAUGAAGGCGUUAUGCGUUGUAAACUGCUUUUAUACAGGAAGAAACGACUCUUGCGGGAGGCAUUGACGGUACUGUAUGAAUAAGCACCGGCUAACUCCGUGCCAGCCGCCGCCGUAACAC